CCUCUCUCUCUCUCUCUUUCUUCUCUCUAGACAAAUUGCUUUGCUUUUUCCCCUUUUCCCUUUCCAAGUAAUUUGAUUUUGUUUUUCAAUUGUUUUUGUGUUCAUCAGGACUAUGCCGGUAACUCUCUCCAACCGUGUUUGAUAACAACUGUGCAACUGUGUUUGAUAACUUCAGUGCAAUUGUGGUGGUUGAAGGCACAACUGCGAACUUAGGCUUAUGGGACACUGCCGGUGAGAACAUUAUGCGAGAAAGUAAAGGAAAUUCUAAUGGGUGAAAGCAAUGCUCAGUUCAAAGGUUUUGGGAAAGGAGUGCUUUUUAAUCAGGCCAAUUGGGUCCUCCUGGUAAUACAAUGUCGAAAAUUUUUA